AUACGUAGGGUGCAAGCGUUAAUCGGAAUUACUGGGCGUAAAGCGUGCGCAGGCGGUUUUGUAAGACAGUGGUGAAAUCCCCGGGCUCAACCUGGGAACUGCCAUUGUGACUGCAAGGCUGGAGUGCGGCAGAGGGGGAUGGAAUUCCGCGUGUAGCAGUGAAAUGCGUAGAUAUGCGGAGGAACACCGAUGGCGAAGGCAAUCCCCUGGGCCUGCACUGACGCUCAUGCACGAAAGCGUGGGGAGCAAACAGGAUUAGAUACCCUGGUAGUCCACGCCCUAAACGAUGUCAACUGGUUGUUGGGGAUUUAUUUUCUCAGUAACGAAGCUAACGCGUGAAUUUGACCGCCUGGGGAGUACGGCCGCAAGGUUAAAACUCAAAUGAAUUGACGGGG
rnacentral:rRNA from 1 species